rnacentral:lncRNA from 1 species
CUGUCCCACACGGGGGCUCACGUUCUUAUCCCCAUUUUACAGAUGAGGUACCCGAGGCCCAGAGAAGUGAAGGGACUUGCCCAAGGUCACCCAGCAGACAGGCGGGCCGAGCCGGAGAGGACUCUGCGCACGCAAAGAUAUAAACAAAAACAACAGAAUCCAGCCUUUAACAUAGGACUUCAGGUAAGAGAAAAUCCUCUACGUCCAUGUAAUAACAGAUACGACUUAAUAUUAAAAGUAUUUCCAUCUUGUGGAAGUAUAGAGACGAGCUGGGUUGCAAAAGAAUGAUUCACUUGAAAGGAAGCUACUGCGUUCUUGUUUUUUUAAAACAGUCUCUGUUAAAUACUUACUAUGUGCCAGGCAGUGUACUGAGUGCUGGGUAGAUAGAAGCUAAUCAGGUUGGACACAGUCCAUGCCUCAUAUGGGGCUCACAGUCCUAAUCCCCAUUUUACAGAUGACGGAGCUGAGGCACAGAGAAGUGAAGUGACUUGACCAAGGUCAUCCAGCAGACAAAUGACAGUGGAAAGAGCCUGGGCUUCGGAGUCAGAGGUAAUGGGUUCGACUGCCGGCUCUGCCACUUGUCAGCUGUGUGACUGUGGGCAAGUCACUUCUCUGUGCCUCAGUUACCUCAUCUGUAAAAUGGGGAUUAACUGUGAGCCUCACGUGGGACAACCUGAUUACCCUGUAUCUAUCCCAGCGCUUAGAACAGUGCUCUGCACAUAGUAAGCGCUUAACAAAUACCAACAUUAUUAUUAUGACAGAGCUGGGAUUAGAACUCAGGUCCUCUGAGGCCCGGGCUCUCUGUCAUUUAGGGCACGCUGCUUCUCUUAUUCCUAGUCUGCAGGCUUAUUCCCAUUGAGUUUCUACACUGCCCUUAAAAGGGAAGACCCAAACCAGAUCGUAUUAGUAUUCUGUGAUCUUUUAACUAGACAGUCGGCUCCUAAACCCGUUUUAAUUAGCCAUGUAAAUUCAAUAAAAAAAUAAUGGAUUGCCAUUUGGUGACAAUUAGAUUUUUUCUCUUCCCUUAGGAAGUAAAUUGCUGCUUUGCUCUCUUUAUUCCCUAUCUCCUUCGGGUUUGGGAUGUUUGUUGUUUUUUGUUUUGUGGGUUUUAGAAAACACCUGGCCAAGGUUGUAAUUCAUCUUCUCCAGAAGAGAAGGGUUUCCAGGGUCAGAGAGGUAGGAAGGUGUUUCAGGAGGAAGCCGUGUGAACGCCUAGCUGACCGUUAAAUCUUAAUUCCCGCUCUUUCCUCGGAGAAUGAAAAAAAUGAUUCUUUUUCACAGUGACCGGUCAGUGGUAUUUAUUGAGGGCUUACUACGUGCAGAGCACCGUAAUAAUAAUCAUAAUAAUAAUUUGUAAGGGCUCGCUAUGUGCCAGGCACUAUACUAAGCGCUGGGGUGGAUACAGGCAAAUCAGGUUGGACACAGUCCCUGUCCCAACGUGGGGUUUACCGUCUCAAUCCCAUUUUACAGAUGAGGUCACUGAGGCCUACAGAAGUGAAAUGACUUGUCCAAGGUCACACAGCAGACAAGUGACAGAGCCGGGAUUAGAAUCCAUUGUCUUCUGACUCCCAGGUCCGGGCUCUAUCCACUACAAUACAGUGGAUUUAACAGAUACGUUCCCUGCCCGUUAACAAGUCUACAGUCUAGAGGGGGAGACAGACAUUGAUAUCAAUUCAUAAGUAAUUUAUAAUAUAGAAUUUAAAGAUAUGGAUAGAAGUCUUGGAGGUUCGUGGGUACGAUUGACACGAGCCCAAGGACUGCAGAUUCCUUAUCUGCUUGUCAGCCUGUCAGAACACUUGACUAAUGCUAUCACGUGAGGGACAGAGAGCAAAAUCCUUACUUCACUGAAGAGGAAACUGAGGCAGAACAUUUAGCGAUCUCAGCCAAAGGAGUUCUAGUGUCUUCAUGAAGAAUUCGGGGUUCGUGACCCACUGGACUCUCUUCACCCUAUUAAUUUCUCCAGAUUUCACCUUCCACAGCUAGCUCAUUGUGGGCAGGGAACAUUUCAUCCAAUUCCAUUGGCUAGCAACUCUGUCGUUUUGCGCUCUCCCGAGCGCUUGGUACACGACUCCGCACAUAAAUAAGUGCUUGAGAAAUACCGUUGGUUGACUGAUGGAUUGAUGGGGACCUGGAAAAGUCUCUAUCGUAUUAUCUAACUAAAAGAGAAGUGUAAGACAUAUAAGAUGCGUCUGUAAAUAGUCCUUCUGGAACUUAACGGGCCACGAAUCCUUGAUGCCAACUCUGUGAGGGCUGGACGGGGUGGACAUCGAUAUCCGGGGUUGGCACGGGAGAGUCUAAGCCAUUAGCUUUGACCCACGGAUUCUGGGCAGGAUGGGCACCCGUAGCUGGUUGGAAAGAGACCUGAGACGGAACCAAGAUGCCAUUCCGUCAAUCAGUGAGCGCUUACUGCGUGCCGAGCACUGUACCCAGCAUUCGGGAGAGUACGCUACAGUUGGUAGACAGGCUCCCUGCUCUCAAAGAGCUUACAGUCUACCUCUCCUCUCUGGCAGGACAUCAUCGUUGGUAAUGCUGGUCUCGGUGCCUCAGUUACCUCACCUGUAAAAUGGGGAUUAAGACUGUGAGCCCCACGUGGGACGACCUGAUUCCCCUGUGUCUACCCCAGCGCUUAGAACAGUGGUCGGCACAUAGUAAGCGCUUAACAAAUACCAACAUUAUUAUUAUUAAUUGCCCUCCGUGAUUUUCGGGUAAUAGUAGUCACUGUGUGUUUGUUAAGUGCUUACUAGGGGCCAGACACUGUGCUUAGCGUUGGGAUAGAUGCAAGACACACAGAUAGGACAUAGCCUCUGACUCUUAUUGGGCUCACGAUAGACUGGGAAAUCAUUUUAAAUCCCCAUUUUACAGAUGUGGAAACAGAAGCCCAGUUAAAUGACUAGGCGAAGGUCAUGCAGCAGGUACGUGGCGGAGCUGGGAUUGGAACCCAGAUCAUUUGAGUGCCAGGCCCGUGCUCUUUCCACUAAGCGAUACUGCUUCACCUUCAUCUCUUAUCUUUUUGAGAGUUCUGGCCCCUAAGCAGGCUUUGUUCUGAACUCUGAAGAAAGUCCAGAUGGAAUAAUUUUGUCUGUUUUUCUUUGCCUCUGAAAUGUCCAAAUAACCAGGGCCAAGAUAUUAGAGGGGGCUGUAAUCCCGGCUCUGCCACUUGUGACCAUAGGCGAGUCGCUCAACUUCUCUUUGCCUAAAUUCUCAUCUGUAAAAUGGGAAUUAAUCAGGUUGCCCCACGUGGGGCUCUCAGUCUUACUUCCCAUUUUACAGAUGAGGUCACUGAGGCACAGAGAAGUGAAGUAACUUGCCCAAAGUCACACAGUUGACAAGUGGCGGGGCAGGGAUUAGAACCCACGACCUCUGACUCCUCAAGCCCGUGCUCUUUCCACCGAGCACCGCUGCUUCCCUUAAGCGUGCAGGGUCGGAAGAUUGCGGCUUAUUUCCGCCGGGAUGUCUCCAGAUGCUCAGUACAUUGCGUGGCACCCAGUGGGAGCUCAAUCAGUAGCAUUAGUCCUCCCUCAAGGUUUCCUCUGAGGUAUCCCCAUUUCAACCAGUGUCCUCUGUGCCUACACCCCGCCCCUUCUCUUCUAAUAAUAAUAAUAAUUGUAUUUGUUAAGCGCCUACUAUGUGCCGAGCACUGUUUUAAGCGCUGGGGGAGACCCAGGAUAAUCAGACUGUCCCCCGUGGGGGCUCACAUUUUUUAAUCGCCAUUUUUCCAGAUGAGGUCCCUAGGCCCAGGGAAGUGAAGUGACUUGCCCCAGGUCACACCGCAGACAAGUGGGGGAGUGGGGAUUAGAACCCACGACCUCUGACUCCCAGGCCCGGGCUCUUCCCACGAAGCCCCGCUCCUUGUCUUCGAAGCCCUCCCAAUACUUGGGAAGCAGCAUGGCUCACUGGAAAGAGCCCCGGGUUGGGAGUCAGAGGUCAUGGGUUCGAAUCCCCGCUCUGCCACUUGGCAUCUGAGUGACCGUGGGCAAGUCACUUAACUUUUCUGGGCCUCAGUGACCUCAUUUGGAAAAUGGGGAUGAAGCCUGUGAUCCUCACGUGGGACAAUCUGAUUACCCUGUAAUAAUAAUGUUGGUAUUUGUUAAGCGCUUACCGUGUGCAGAGCACUGGUCUAGGCGCUGGGGUGAUAAUAAUAAUAAUAAUAAUAAUGUCGGUAUUGGUUAAGCGCUUACUAUGUGCCGAGCACUGUUCUAAGCGCUGGGGUAGAUACAGGGUAAUCAGAUUGUCCCACGAGAGGCUCACAGUCUUAAUCCCCAUUUUACAGAUGAGGUAACCGAGGCACCGCGAAGCGAAGUGACCCGCCCACAGUCACCCAGCUGCCAAGUGGCCGAGCCGGCAUUCGAACCCAUGACCGCUGACUCCCAAACCCGGGCCCUUUCCACUGAGCCGCGCUGGUAGAUCCGGGGUCAUGGGGUGGUCCCCCGUGGGGCUCCCAGGCUUCACCCCCAUUUUUCAUCAUCCCAAGCGCUUAGUACAGUGCUCUGCACAUAGUAAGCGCUCAAU